rnacentral:rRNA from 1 species
CCUACGGGGGGCAGCAGUAGGGAAUAUUGCUCAAUGGGGGAAACCCUGAAGCAGCAACGCCGCGUGGAGGAUGAAGGUUUUCGGAUUGUAAACUCCUUUUGUUAGAGAAGAUAAUGACGGUAUCUAACGAAUAAGCACCGGCUAACUCCGUGCCAGCAGCCGCGGGAAUACGGAGGGUGCAAGCGUUACUCGGAAUCACUGGGCGUAAAGAGCGCGUAGGCGGGAUAGCAAGUCAGAAGGGAAAUCCUAGGGCUUAACCAUAGAACUGCAUUUGAAACUGUUAUUCUAGAGUAUGGGAGGGGUAGGUGGAAUUCUUGGUGUAGGGGUGAAAUCCGUAGAGAUAGAGAGGAAUACUCAUGGCGAAGGCGACCUGCUAGAACAUAACUGACGCUGAGGCGCGAAAGCGUGGGGAGCAAACAGGAUUAGAUACCCGUGUAGUC